UUCCUAAUGUUGAGUCGGAAUCUCCUUUCUUGUAACUUGAAGCCAUUGGUUCGAGUCCUACUCUCCAGAGCAGGAGAAAACAAGCUUGCUCCAUCUUCCAUGUGACAGCCCUCAAGAUAUUUGAAGAUGGCUAUCACAUCUCAACUCUUCUCCAUCUCUUCUUUUCCAACCUAAACAUACCCAGCUCACUCAACUGUUCCUUGACAGAGGACAGUCUGUUGCAAUGUAAAUAA